AAACGCAGAGACAAUAGCGGACCCCAACAGCAUACAUUAUUAACAAUGUCUGCAUUCCUUAGUGUCCUUGCUGCUAAAAUUAACACAGCCCGUGUGGCAUCCUGCCAGAGCGAGCACAGUGCACGUCAUAAACAAUACAGGGAAGGAGAUGUUUUCCAUCAGACAUCUAUAAGCGAUUUCCUUCUACCCUGAAGACAUAAAGAUGUGUAGAGGACCAUUAAUAGGAAUGGAUGUGCUCGAGCAGAAGUCCCCAUGGUUUUUAUCCAGAUCGUGGGAAGCCACCCUUCAGAUUGCUGUGCUACAUGCUGAUGAGUCAAUCUGUUGCACUGGAUGUCUUCGGAGAAGGACAGAAAUAACGAUCCUACUGUCCUGUGAAGAGCUGGAGAGGAAAUGUCAGCCAACAGCAUAUGCAAGUUCCCCAAAGCAGCAUCUCUGGAGCAGUCAGUAAUGGAGAUGGAGGAAACGUGAAGCUUGGAGAGAAAAGUCUCUCUGAAUAACUACUACUAACAUGGAAGAUAAAGAAAUCAGAGUGAUCCAUGUUCAGGGAAGGACCAAUGUGAGAGGUGUCACCAGAGACUGUAACUCAUCUUUAUGGAACCUUCAUCCUUGUAUUCUUUUUCCUGAAAACAUUAUCCUUCUUUUUUGGCUCAAAGGCUACAUUGCUUUACAGUUUUUGAUGCCAGCUGGAGCAGAUAUUCAUUCCAAAACAUCUGACAACUAUGCUUUACUGUCAGAAUAUAUUAUUCAGAAGUUGAAACAGGUCUGUUCAAUGUGGAUUAAAGCAGAGACAUCCCAGGUAGUUGGAGAAGGGUUCUUCACCCACCACUGCACAUCUCCGUGGCAGUUGCACUCAGCUCUCCUCGUGCUCAGAGCAGUGACAGAACUGCCCUGGGGAGGCCAUUCACCACACCUUUGGAUGAUGAGAGACCACCAAAAAUGCCCAUGGCUUUUGAAGGGAUCCACAUUAUUUUACAGGGGGGUGCCUGCAAUCACUGAGAGACAGUUACCAAAAGAGCCACCAAGGUGCUAUAAACCCAAAGGCAGGUGGAGAAAUGUGAGUUGGCAUCAAAUCUUGCAGGAUCUGUGCCAGAUCUCCAGCUGAUUAAACUUGCAAACCUUUAUCAGCAUCCCUGGCAACAAGGAUGCCUGAUACACUUGAAAUCAAGAUGUUUGUGAAGUACCUACUGAGGAUUCCCAGUGGGUCUAGAGGCUCCACCCUGGAAAAGGAGGAAAAGAUCCUCAAGGUCAUCUCACAGACCCAAGUUUUAGGGGCAAGCUAAUACCCUGUCCAGGGGACUUCACCUGAGGGAUAAAGACCAGCCUCCCACUGGCAGCCUCAAUGGACCAGAUGGACCAGACAACCCUCUGAUCUACCUUCUACAUGCGUUUGGUCGUGUGCCGUGUUGAGAUUCCCACCCACAACUGCAAAAUGAAUAAUAAAGAACAAAACAGGUUUAGC
ensembl:lncRNA